rnacentral:lncRNA from 1 species
GAAAUAAGACGAGCAUAUUGGAAAUAUAUAGAGUAUAUAAUAACACCUGAUCCCAAAGAAGACAAACCAAACUGCAUGAAACGUUUCUGGACAUUCAUCAAGCACAAAAGAUCAGACGGAAACCUUAUACUACCAUUAAGGAACAAUGGACUACUCCAUCCUGAGUCAGUUGAAAAGGCUAACAUACUAAAUAAACAGUUCCAAUCAGUUUUUCUCUGAAAAAAAACCCCAACUUUACAGAAACCGAAUUCAAAAACCGUUGUGACAUGACCAACAACAACUACCCUGGACUUCAAAUAAAGACCUGAACAUAACAGAAAAUGGAAUAGCAAAACUAUUGUCCAACCUAAACCCAUUUAAAGCUGCGGGUCCAGACACCAUUACAUCAAGGGUGCUGAGGGAAUUAGCCAUAGACAUUGCACCAAUCCUUACCACCAUUUUCAGACGAUCAUAUGAAACAGGCGAUUUACCGGACAUAUGGAAAAAGGCUAACGUAAUCCCAAUAUUCAAGAAGGGAAAACGGUUUGAUUCAGUAGUCUCGCUUACCUGCAUUUGUUACAAAAUCAUGGAGUACAUUGUAACAAGCCACAUAAUGGCCCAUGCUGACAAACACAACAUACUGUAUCCACUCC